UACGAAGGGUGCAAGCGUUAAUCGGAAUUACUGGGCGUAAAGCGCGCGUAGGUGGUUCAGUAAGUUGGAUGUGAAAUCCCCGGGCUCAACCUGGGAACUGCAUCCAAAACUGCUGAGCUAGAGUACGGUAGAGGGUGGUGUAAUUUCCUGUGUAGCGCUGAAAUGCGUAGAUAUAGGAAGGAACACCAGUGGCGAAGGCGACCACCUGGACUGAUACUGACACUGAGGUGCGAAAGCGUGGGGAGCAAACAGG
rnacentral:rRNA from 1 species